ACCUAGGCACACUCUAGGCUUCAUCGCGUUUUCUUCCCCAUUCACCUGUUGCGAUCUAUCGUCAGCGAGACCGCGGGGAGACGGCUUGGUCCAGCGCAGGGACUCCGAUCCAGCACAGGGAGGCCAGCGAGACCGUGGGUAGGCAGCGCGACUGCAUCGGGUGUCGCGGGGAGGACGAUGCGGCUGCGGGGAGGCGGCGUGUGCGUCGGGCCGCGUGGUUGGAGGGGGUGGCGCAGCUCUGUCAGCCAGUGUGAGGAGGCGGCGCAGCUCAGGCGGCACAGCAACCUCCACUACAUCCUGGUCUGAGGCGUGACGAGUGCUCGUGAGCUCGCCCACAAGGAGGUCCUCGUCCACUGAUCUACCGAGUAGCUGAGUCCAUCAAGAUCUGAAGGGCUCCUCCACGAGCAUCGAGCUUCUAUGAGUUUCUAACCAAACAUCUUCUUAUUGCUACGGCUACCAAGGCAAUACAGCACUAGGCAACCUAAUAGCUGUGGAGAGAUUUAGAGUGUUGCAGCCAUCAUGGACAAGGAGUGGAUGAGAGCACCUAGGUGGCCAAUCGAGUAUGAUGAAGGCCUUUACGACUUUAUAGAAUUUUCCUUUGCCAUAUCAGCCCAACAGAAUAUGAUACCUUGUCCUUCUCGUGAUUGUGGAAAUAAUUACCGGCUAGAGGCAAAAGAUGUUCGGGAACACUUAAUUUGCAUUGGGUUCAUGGAUGGAUAUUCAUCAUUGAUUCAUCAUGGUGAGGCCAUGUCAUCUGUACUGAGUCCUAGUUUGCACUCACAAUCAGAAGACGACGAUGCUGAGAUAUAUUGAUCCAAUGGAACAGAUGCUAAUAAAGGGUUUUGAGACGUAUGAUGCCCGUGCUUUAGGGGAAGAAGAGGGAUUUGAGGAUGAGGAUGAUAUUGAUGCUGAAGCAUACUAUAAGUUGGUCCGUGAUGGGAGCCAAGAGUUGUAUCAGACUGCAAGACAUUCUCGAAGCUGCAAUUUCUCAUUAGGCUCCUUACCUUAAAGAAUCGAUGGAGGGUGAGCAAUGGUUAUUUUUCAUGAGCUCCUGCCCUUAAUUAAGGACGCACUUCCAGAGGGUCAGGUGUUGCCAAAGAACUUCCAUGAGGUCAAGAGAUUCGUGAAGGCUAUUGGAAUUGGUUAUCAUUCCAUUGACGCUUGCGGAAAUGACUGCAUAUUGUUUAGGAAAGAAUAUGCCAAUGCCAACUCAUGUCUAGUGUGUAAAUCAAGCAGGUGGAAGAGUGUGAAAGGUGGAGUUGAUGGAAGACAUGUCCACAGAGUUCCUACAAAGGUGGUUCGGCAUUUUCCACUGAAAAAGAGGCUCCAAAGGUUAUUCAUGUCUUCAAAGACAGCGCAUAACAUGAGGUGGCAUAGCGAAAGUUGCACGAAAGAUGGCUUGCUAUGUCAUCCAGCAGACUCUCCAGCAUGGAAGAAUUUUGAUGCCAUGCAUGGUGGUUUAGUUCAGAGGUUAGAAAUGUUAGGCUUGGGUUGGCAACAGAUGGCUUCAACCCUUUUGGGAACAUGAAUGUGUCCUACAGUGUAUGGCCUAUCAUCUUGAUCCCAUACAACCUUCCUCCAUAAGUUUGCAUGAAGCAAUCAAAUUUUAUUCUAUCUGUUCUUAUCCCGGGUAAAAGGGCUCUAGGAAAAGACAUAGAUGUUUAUAUGCAGUUAGUGAUUGAUGAUCUCCUUGAAUUAUGGAAGCAUGGUGUGAUGAUUUAUGAUGUAUCUUCUAAUAAGAAGUUUCGCCUACAUGCUGCACUGCUAUGGACAAUAAGUGAUUGGCUUGGACAGAGAGUAUUAUCUGGAGAAAGUAUAGCAGCAUGCUCCCAUUGUCUCGUAGACACAUGCUCACUUCGGUUGAAACAUGGGCACAAGACCUGCUAUAUGGGACAUCAUAGAUUCUUAGAUGCUAAUCACAAGUUCAGAUUUCAAGCUAGAUUAUUUGAUGGUACCCAAGACUUUCGUGAGCCUCCUGUUCAACUUUCAGGGCAGGAAAUAUCUAAAAUGACAAGACAUAGUAAUAGUAUUUGGAAAACUACAAAAGGAUAAGAACAACAAGAGAAAGAGGAAUGCUGAAGCAGAGGAAGUUAAUGAGAAUUACUUAUCAAAAGUAUUCAAAAAGAGGUGUUGCUUAUUUCAAUUGCCAUACUGGAAGACACUUCUUGUACGCCACAACAUUGAUGUCAUGCAUACAGAGAAAAAUGUCUAUGGUAACAUAGUGAAUACAUUUCUUGAUGUUGACAAGAGAUCAAAGGAUAAUUUGAAUGCUCGCCUUGACCUCCAGGAAAUGGGCAUACGACCAGAUCUUCACCCACAGAUAGAGGGGAAUAAAUCAUACUCCCUCCAUUCCAAAUUGUAAGUCGUUUGACUUUUUUUACCUCAAGUUUGACCACUCGUCUUAUUCAAAAAAUUUAUACAAAUAUAGUCAAAUUUAAGUUAUUCUUGAAGAACUUUUAUUAAUAAACCAAUACACAACAAAAAAAGUGAUAUUUUGUACAAAACUUUGAAUAAGACGAGUGGUCAAACUUGACAUUAAAAAAGUCAAACGACUUACAAUUUGGAAUGGAUUGAGUACAUACCUUCUGCACUAUAUUCUCUGAGUCGACAUGAGAAAAGGAUGUUCUGUCAGGUUCUAAAAGAUGCAAGGUUCCCUACUGGAUAUGCAUCCAACUUGCAGAAUAAGGUUCUUAUCGAGGAGAAGAGACUAGUUGGGUUAAAGACUCACAAUUUUCAUAUUAUAAUGUGUGAUUUGCUCCCUUAGUUGUUAGCAAAGUUUUACUAGAUAGAGUUUCCUUGCUGCUCGUUCGUCUAAGCAAUUACUUUAAGAAAUUGUACUCAAAGGUUAUUUCUGUUAGUGAGAUUGAAAGAUAGGAAGUAGAGAUACCUGAGAUUUUGUGCCAAUUAGAAAAGGUCUUUCCUCCUUCUUUCUUUGAUAUCAUGGUCCAUUUGACUAUCCACCUUGCUACAGAAGUAAGGCUUGCUGGACCAGUUCAUUAUCGGAACAUGUACCCUAUUGAGAGAUGUCUAUCUAAGUACAAAUCCAUGGUUACAACUCGCAACCAUCCUAAAUGAGCAAUAGCUGAAGGUUACUAGUUCAAUGAGAGUAUGACAUUUUGCUCACGAUAUUUGCAAAAUACCAAAAAUCAACCUUGUGCCUCAGCAAGCCAUCUACCAUACUUAAAAAUAGUUGGUCUUCCUUUGUCAGGGCCUUAUGCUUAUGAAUUGUCCUACAUAACUUGGAUCCAAGCUCACCGAUAUGUCUUGAUGAAUUAUCCUCAUAUUAUUCCAUUUGUCGAAGAACAUCUAAAUGAGCUAUCUGCAAAUAAAAAAAAUAAACGUGAAAAUGAACGUGCCCAUCAUAGCAGCUUCCACAAUUGGUUUUCAGACCAUGUUCAAGGGCUGAUACCUAGGGGUAAUGAGAUCUCUGAUGUAAGCACCUCAAUGGGAGUGGCUGGUGACCACUCGACAUCAAAUGCGGGACAGGUAUGUUGUGCAAGCUUACAUUAAUUAUUUCGAGUUGCACAUUUGUAAAAAUUAACAAAUUUGUACUAUUAUCUAGCAGCCUCUGUAGUCUAUGGAAUUUAUUACUACCUAAUUCAUUUGAUAACAUGAUGUUUUUUCUUGCUAUACUGUCUAAUUUCUUUCCUCAACUUAAUCUAUUUAUUUAGCUUAAAUCUGAGAAGAACAAGGCCACUAGGGCACUGCAACUAAAUGGAAGGCACACCACUGGAUUGAGAAGCAAUGUAGUUGUUUUAGAUCAAAUGGUAUUUCCUGAUUAUAGAGUCAUUAGUUUUGUUGAUCUUUAAUCAUAUUGUUUUCCUUUGUGUGGUACCACCUAAUGUUCUUAAUACAGGAACUAAAGGAAGGAAGAAAAAUAGGCCGUGCUGAGCUCUAUAUAGCAACACAUACCAGAAAAAAUGGACAACCAAUUGAUGAUUACAGCUUUCAAAAAACUAAAGGAAGCCAGACAAAUAGGCUUGUUAGCAGGUAGUCUGGGCUCUGCUCGCAUAUCUGAAGCUUUAUUUGAAAUGCAGGAAGUGAAAGAAGAAAACAAGAAGCUUUGGGAUGUGGUGAAACACUAAUGUCAAAUCAAACUAAGUUGCAGCAGCAAUACAGUGAACUAAAAAGUUUCAGGCUCCCAAAAGUGCUCUUCUGUUAAAACUAGUCCAAGGGUUGGUACAGUAGAUGAGCAACAUUUGCAUGACAAGAUGAUGAUAACCAAGAAUCAAUUUCACAUUCAAAUAAGACAUGGAGUAGAAUUUGAGGUAAAUUGUCUCCAUUUGAGUUGACUUUCUGAUUAGAUGCAGUUUGUAAAUGUCUUCAAUCCUUAGGAAAAUGGAAAUGUUAGGAUGCAAAUUCUGCAAAAAAUAAAGAAAGAGACAGCACAACACACAUUUCUGAGAAAUACCAAGGACAAGACACCUUCACAAAGUCUUCCAGAGCCAUUGAAGAAACUAAGAAAGUUUCAGGCACCACUUAAUAAGCUGACUGUUGUCUUUUAUCAUGUUAGUAUUUUCUAAUCAAAUAGUAGAAUAUGAUAGAGUUAAUAGUAAUCUUUGUAGGAUGAUAUGGAAAAUAUAAAGUGUGGUAUGGAGAUUGGUCUGACAUCUCCAAAUAGUAAAAAGCUGGUAGCACUAGGAACUGUUUAGAAAACUGAUAGGAAAGCUAAAGCUAAUGAUGGUCAACCAUUGGCGGAUUACAUUGAGGUACUCGUCAGUAUUGUUUACAAACAAACAACCAUAUUGCCUCGUGCACAUGGGAAGAUACAGAAUCUGGGAAGUGCUAUUGCUCGUUGCAUACCAUGGCCUCGGCAAAAUGUAUGAUUCCUAUAGAAUUAAAAUGAUUCAUUUGUUUAUUUAUAAUGAUGAAACUUUGAACUUUACAUUGAUAUAAUCACACUGCAGGUCAUUUGUAGACAUGGCACUCCAUUGCACUCUAAGCAGGUUUGUAGCUCCAUUAGCAAAAUCACCCCUAACACGAUAGGAACUGCAGGACCAAAAAGGUCGACAUCAAAAGCUGAUGCUACAAGGUUGGACAAAGGACAAGUUGCUUCACAGGGUUUGCUAGAAAAGAAUCAAGCAAAGAGGAAUGUGAGUAAAGAAAAAACAGAGCAACUUACAUCAUCCAAGUGUGUAGAGGGCCACAAAAGCAACAUACAUAUAACAAUGUCUCGAUGUUAGUACAAUUAAAAGAGCAAUUGCCAACUGAGGAUAACAUAUAUGUAUACAACUGGAUGUGGACAUGUUAUUUUCAAGCAGGAGUUAACAUAAGUUUGGUUUCUGAACAUUGAUGAGGCUAGUACUAUGGCGGCAUAGUAUAUUUAGAUGGAUUUAGAAUUACAUAUGUAUGUAUUAGCUGUGAUGUGGACACUCUUAUAAAGGCAGCAAGAAACUUGCAUCAGGAAUGGGGACCUAAACAUCAUCAUUUGAAGAUAGACAUUUGAUUAUUUUUUAACCUUACUGAUUGUGUUUGGUUAC